AUACGUAGGUGGCAAGCGUUGUCCGGAAUUAUUGGGCGUAAAGCGCAUGUAGGCGGCUUAGCAAGUCGGCCGUGAAAAUGCGGGGCUUAACGCUGUACGUCGAUCGAAACUGCUUAAAUUGAUAGGAGGAGAGGGAAGGGGAACCGCCCGUGUAGCGGUGAAAUGCGUAGAUAUUGGGAAGAACACCGGUGGCGAAGGCGCCUUUCUGGACUGUGUCUGACGCUCAGAUGCGAAAGCCAGGGUAGCGAACGGGAUUAGAUACCCCGGUAGUCCUGGCCGUAAACGAUGGGUACUAGGUGUGGGAGGUAUCGACUCCUUCCGUGCCGGAGUUAACGCAAUAAGUUCCCCGCCUGGGGAGUACGGCCGCAAGGCUUAAACUCAAAUGAAUUGACGGGG
rnacentral:rRNA from 1 species